rnacentral:lncRNA from 1 species
CCAAAGUUACUAAUAUAUUCUUAUUACUUUUAUCUGAGAUCUUUUCAUAUUCAUGAUAUGAAAUAGUAGAAUUUAGCAAUAUAUAGUUCUUGCUUUGUAGUGAUUUUUGAUAUCUUUCUUCUGUUGAUCAUUCAAGGCUUCUCUUUCAAGUUUAACGCUAAUUGCAUCAACAGGUGGUGUGUAUCCUCUUGUGACAAUAUCCCAAAGAUCAGAAUCAUAGUCCUGAUAGAAGCUUUCAAUUAUAUCUUUCCAGUAUUCAUAACGCUCUCCAUUAAACCUGAGAGGCUUAAUGGUAUAUACUGAUCUUUUUCAUUGUUGUUUGCC